GGAAGUGGAGCAGCGACGCCUGUUCCGCAUUCGCGGCGUGAGUGUGGAUUACAUCUGUUUAUUUAUGCAUUAAUUUGGUAUUUUGAUAAACGUGAUUUUGAUUGUUGCCGUUUAAUUCCAUAUGUAUUUUUUUUUGGUAAAUUGUCAGCAAUAAAAUCUUCUUGCAUGUCUUGCUGCGGUGGGCCAUGAACAUUACUUCCCUGAAGCGCUCCCACAUCCUCAAAAUGGCGAUGUCCAGCUCAGAGCAGGGCAGCUCCGAGCCGUUUGCAACCAAAGCGGUGAAGAUCACCUGCGUGGUGCUGGUGUACUGGUUCGUAUCGAUCACCAUGGUGUUUGUGAACAAGUAUCUGCUGGCCAGCCCGGUUCUGCAGCUGGACGCGCCGCUCUUUGUAACUUGCUUCCAGUGCAGUAUGACCGUGCUGCUUUGCUUCCUGCUCAACACUCUGGCCAUGCUCUGCCCCAACCUGGUGAAAUUCCCCUUCAUCGCCUUCGACAUCAAGGUCUCCAGGGAGGUUCUCCCACUCUCCAUCGUCUUCAUCGGGAUGAUCACUUUCAACAACCUGUGCCUCAAGUACGUCGGGGUGGCUUUCUACAACGUCGGCCGUUCCCUGACCACCGUCUUCAACGUCCUGCUCUCCUAUGUGAUGUUGAAGCAGACCACUUCCUUGCGAGCAAUACUAUGCUGUGGCAUCAUCGUAGGUGGUUUUUGCCUGGGAAUAAACCAAGAGGGUGCAGCAGGCAGUCUGUCCUGGUCAGGAGUCAUGUUUGGCGUAAUGGCCAGUUUGUGUGUGUCGCUGAAUGCCAUUUACACCAAGAAGGUUCUGCCGGCUGUAGACGGCAGCAUUUGGAAACUAACCUACUACAACAACAUCAAUGCCUGCAUACUGUUUGUUCCAUUAAUCGCAAUCACGGGGGAACUGAAAGUACUGUAUAACUUUGACAAGCUCGGCAGUCACAGCUUCUGGGCAAUCAUGGUUUUAGGAGGUGUGUUUGGGUUUGCCAUUGGAUACGUCACAGGACUACAGAUCAAAUUCACCAGCCCACUGACCCAUAACGUCUCUGGAACUGCCAAGGCCUGCACGCAAACCGUUCUGGCCGUGUCCUACUUUGAAGAGGCCAAGACCUUCCUCUGGUGGAUGAGUAACCUGCUGGUCCUCAUUGGGUCCUUUGCCUACACCUGGGUGAAAGGGCUGGAAAUGAAGAGAGUGCAGGAACAGACAUUAAACAAAAACCAAGAGAGGGAUGAAGCUAAGGUCUAAAAAGGGGAGUAUUUAAUUGGGCUGAAUGUACAGUGGAAGAUUGAUGGGGGAAAGGGGAACUUGAUAGUCGGAGAAUGGAAAUUGCCAAAUGGUUGAAACUGCCCAUUUUUUCUAGCUGCUUCUCCUGUUGGCAAGAUGAACAGCGCUGGAGUGCCCUUGUACAGCUCCAGGUUUAACCAUGUGCCCACUCAAGCCAAUGAGACCUCAACAUCAAUGAUGGAUAAACACAAGAGGCAGUGUGUGCUGAGUAUCCUCCACUGGUAAAUGGGUGAAAGCACUGGGGGUCACUCCUGUGACCCAUUGUUCAAUGUUCUCUGAGAUUCCUUGCUGUUAAUGGGGAAACGUCACACUCCGUACGUAUAGCCUGGGGAUUGGCUCUAGUUCCUGGACCAUCUGUCAACUACUUGAUCCUCUUGAUUUCCUCUGCCCCAUCCUGGUUAGUGUGACAAUUAGAUCAAUGUUUCCCAUACUUGCUGCGGUAAGGUCAAAAGAAAGAUUUUGGUGUGUGAUGCUUUCUUUGGGUUAGAAGUUUGUCUUUGGGCAUUGGUGCAAAGUGGUACAAUGAAUUUCUGAAUUUCAGUUCUCCAAAUAUAAUCAAAUUCCUGAAUGGGGAAACUACAGGUCCACUGCCGAUUUUUCGGCAACUGAUGGUCUGGCACCUCCUUUCAUCCGGGCAAAUUUACAAAAGCGUAGUUGAAAACCCCCUGGAAGUUCCCCGAAAAUGUGGCAUCUGGGUUGGGUUAGAUGGCCGAUCACGACCUCAUCGAGACAUCCGUGUUAAUCGGCGAGUCAAAUUUGUCCCCUGUGGCCGGGGCUUUGGCCAGCAGAUCCAUUCCUAUAGCCAACUUCCGACUUUACGGGCCGAUAUCUCGGCUCGUCGGCUGUCUAGGUGCACCAUCUGGCCAAACAGAUAAUUCAGAAAGGCUCUGGAUCUAAGGGUACUGGACCGGUGGUGGACCUGUCUGUUUAGUGGAAGUGAUAGUGGACAUAUUUCCAUCUUGUUUUGUGUAACAGUUUUUAAUUCCUUCAGGAUAAAGGAGAACUGAAAGGAUCUCUUGCAAGUUUAUCUUGCAAUAAUUUGAUAUGCUUAAAUCACUUUUAUAUAUUUUCACUAAAAUUAUAAACUUAUUGUGGUUACUUUGAAAAAUAGUGUUUCAUGAUUGGGGUUUUCAAUGCAAACGAUGCCAUGGGUCUGAGAAUGUUAAUCCAAAGUUUAAUGGUCUUUUGGUAAUUUGAAAAUAAAUUCUUUUACCACAAUU